UCCCCAGCACUUGCCUGUUAACUCCAGCUCCAGGGGCUCUGAUAUCCUCUUCUGGGCACUAUGGUACCCAUAUACAUGUGUUAUAGAUACACUCAUAUAGACACACACACACACUAAUGAAAAUGAGGCAGAGAAGGGACUGAAUAUCCCAAAAUCGACCUCUGGCUGAAGUGGGUUGGGAGCAUAUGUGCUGUUGGGAGCUGUGCUUCUGGGCUGCUAAUCUGAUCAUAGUGCCUCCUCCCCUUAGUUCCCCACACUGGGGGGUGGAACUUGUAAUCUCAUGCUUGCUGGGCAUGUGCUCUGCCAUUGGUCUCUAUUUCCAAGGUUUUCCUUUUUUUCUUUUUUGUUUUCUUGUUUGUUUUUGACUUUUUUAUUUUGAGACUAUUCAGUAGUCCAAAUUAGCCUUGAACUUGCCCUGUAGCCCAGGCAUCCUUGAAAGUGUCAUUGUCCUACCUCAGCCUCCUGAGUAACUGGGAGUGCAGGACUGUGCUGCUGGCAGACUGAUGAUCUAUUCUUCAUUUGAAUAGAAGACAGUCUGGAGGCACAAAAGCCUGUUAGGAGCUAUGCACGGUGGACCAGGAACAUGGUAGUGAAGGUAUGGACUAAGGCCUUGGGAACAGGAUGUUAGAGGUGUUCUAGCUGCAAAAAUGGUAAACUUUCCAGGUAACUCAGUGUGGGAGUAAAAGAAACAUAAGACCUGAAAAUUACCUUAAACCUUAAAAUCUAAAUAUCUUAGAAGAAAAUGGGAUAUUAAGAAGGAAUCACGUGGUGAUGGGCUAAAAACAGAUGCAUUGUGAGAUACCCAAAGAAAAGUUAGAAAUAGCAGUGUGGCCUGUGGGGUGAGAUGAUCUGUAGCUCAGUAGGACAGUGAUGACUAAGUCUUGCCUUUUGGGGGGUUGGGGUAGAGUCUCACUAUGGAUUUCUGUGAGUUUGAGGUCCACCUGGUCUAUAUAAUGAUUACAGGACAGCUAGGGCUCCUGCUUCCUGCCCUGUUUGAAUUCCUGCCCUGGCUUCCUUCAGUGAUGUAUUAUGACAUGGAAGUGUAAGAAGUAAACCCUCUCCUUCCCAAGUUGCUUUGGUCAUGGUGGUUCGUCACAGCAAUAGUAACCCUAAUUAAGACAGUGGUUAAGAGCCAAAGAUGACCUUGGAUUUCUGAUCUUUCUGCCCCCACCUCUAGAGUACUGGGGUUAUUACCAGCUUAUAGACUGUUUCUUUGUGGUAAUGGGACCAUACAGUAUCAGACCCCCUGUCUUACUAUAAAUUUAAAAUAAAGGUUUCUCAGUGGACUUUUCCCUAGUCAGUCAUCAAGGAACUUUAUUUUCCUCAAAAACUCCCAGCUGUUUUGUAGGGCUCUCUGAAUGUUGACUUUCAGGUAGGCAACACAUUUCAUUUUCACUCCCCUAGUGGUAGAAUAUAGAUGGACUAUGCAGGUACCUUGCUUUCGCGACCCUCAUUACCAGCUGGAUACUAUCAAGCUGUAAUAUUAGGGGAGUGAUCCUUGGAGGGACUCGAAGUCUUCAGAGACCUGAUGCUUGUGAGCUGAGCAAGUCCUCACAGGAGGACUGCAUUUCUCUCGACUACUGAGCAGGAAGUGGCAGCCUGCUCCUUGGCAUGCUGCUCCAAGGGAGGUUCCUCUUUGCCUGGUUUGUGUUUGCCCACUGUGUGUUCUGUAUUACACUACCACACCUCUCUGGCCUGAAAGAACAUUCUAUCCCUGCACAAAGGAAAUAUUGACUUAAGGAAGGGACAGUGGCCCAGUUGCAAACCUGUAGGAGCAGGAGCUGGAGGGAAAUGAGUGAGGAGGUUGUUCUGCUCUUCUGCGGGUGCUGGUUAUGGGAGGCUCUACUGAGAAGUGGGGGAUUACCUCAGGUGUCUACACUGAGGGAUGUGGGAGGUGAUGGAAUGGAAUAAUCAUGUUUUCAACAAGGGUCAGUGGGGUGUUUGGGAGAGCAGCAGUUCUAGAAGGUUAGCAGGAAUGGUCCCUUUAUCAAGGCUUUAUUAAGCACUGUGCUCUGAGAGGAUGGAAACAGGCUCCAGUACCUGGGGAAAUAUACUACGGCAGAUGCAACAGUGCAUGUUGAGAGCCAGGUAGGUAGCAGGGCCAUUAGAUCAUCCAGUAUAAGUCAAGUCAACAAAUUUACACACACACACACACACACACAGACACACACACACACAUCUCGCCCCUUGACAGGAUUUCUCUACAUUGCUCUGGCUUUCCUAAAACUCACUAUGUAGACCAGGCUGGCUUCAGCUGACACUGUGUGCUAGAAUUGAAGGUGUAUGCUACCAUGACUGGCAAUUUAACUUUUUUGUUUGUUUGUUUUUUGAAGAAAAGCAAAAAAAUUUCAAGUCAAGGAGGACAAGCAGAGGUCUUCCCAAGAUGAUUGGUAAUGAUGUUGAUGACAGGAGAUAUUGGCUUUUUUUUUUUUUAGCAUCAGGUUAUAAGAAAAAUUAGUUUCAGCCAGGCAUGGUGGCAUACACUCGGGGGUCAGAGGCAGGUAGAUCUGUGUGAGUUCAAAGCUAGCCUGGUCCACAGACAGAGUUCCAGGACAGCCAGGGGUACACAGAGAAACCUUGUCUUGGAAAACCAAGGGGG
rnacentral:lncRNA from 1 species